rnacentral:lncRNA from 1 species
AAGCACUAAUUUCCAACCUCAAUUGAUUGGUAGUCGGAGAAUUUUAGCAGUUCAAUCCAAUGAUUCCUAAAACCUUCCAACUUUUUGGAGCCAUUUUGCUUCUCUUCUUGAUUCAGUUACCGAACACCAUCCAAUCAAAACCAAGUGGAAACCCUUUUGGGUUCAUCCAGCGCCUUGAGGGAUGCCACAAGGGUGAAUCUGUAAGUGGGCUCAAGGAUCUUAAACGAUAUCUUGAGAAAUUUGGCUACUUGAAUUAUGCCAAAAAUAGCGGCAACAACCAUGCAAAUGAUGAUGAGUUUGAUGAUCUUUUGGAGGGAGCGAUCAAGGAUUACCAACACUUCUAUCACCUGAAAGCCACUGGAGUCCUAGACAAUAGCACAGUGUCUCAAAUGAUGAAACCUAGAUGUGGGGUCCCAGAUGUUGUUAGAAAUGGCACAAAUAAUCACUACCAUAAUCCCAAAUCUAUCCAUUCAGUAGCCCAUUUCAACUUCUUCCCUGGACCCCGAAGAUGGCCAGCUGAGAGAAGCCAUUUAAGAUACAGGUUUCGUUCCAGUGUCCAAGUCCCUGGAACUGAAAACUUCAGGUCCAUAUGUGCACAAGCAUUUCAGAGAUGGGCACAAGUUACCCACUUCACAUUCGAGGAAGUUGAUGCUAAUUCUGAGGCAGAAAUCGAGAUUGGAUUUCACAGGAGGUUCCAUGGAGAUAGUGACCCCUUUGAUGGAAGGUCAGGGACUUUAGCACAUGCAAGUGCACCAACUCAUGGAAGGUGCCAUUUUGAUGGAGAUGAGAUAUGGAGUGCAAAUCCUGGACCUAAUGAGGUGGACUUGGAAUCAGUUGCAGUGCAUGAAAUCGGGCAUCUUCUAGGUCUAAACCAUAGUGAAGACCCAAAUGCUAUAAUGUAUGCUAGAUUCAGUUAUGGGAUUACCAAAAGGGAUUUGGGUACUGAUGAUAUUCAAGGAAUUCGUACUCUGUAUGGAUUGCAGUAAUGAGUUCAUUAUUCUUAUUACAAUAAGAGCAACUGAGAUCCAAUAUGCUUUGGAGGGUUUAGUGCUACGUAGUUUGAAUAAUAAUAUUUUUUAUAAUUCUCAUUUGUAUCACUAGGAAAUAUAUAAAUAAAAGAAAUCUCAUGGUUUUGUAAUUUCAAAUCCUUUUAAAGCUAUAUGACUUCUUUAUAAAAUCUCUACACAAAGAUGUUAAAAAAAACAAUAAAAUGUUUUAAUAUAAGUUUAUUUUAUGUACGAAUUAAACUUUUUAUAAAAAAAAAGAUUAUAAUAGUUCAUUCUCGGCGAUUCUUAAAGGUGUUAUAUUUACAAAUUUUAAUUAUCGUUACUGAGUAUGAUUAAUUAAAUUUAUAUAAUACGUUAAUAUUAUUUUCAUUUGAUUAUUAUUUUAAUUUUACCGUCUUUUUAAAUGAUAAAAUUAUUUAAAAUUACUUAUCUUACAAAUCAAAAUACGUAAGUAAAAAAUUAUAAAUGCAUGUAUUUUUUUUGCUUUGAUUUGUAAAGGUUAUUACAAAAUCAUGAUUUAUGCCUUUACUUCAAAACAUAAGGUUUAAAGUAAAAAUGAAUAAAUACUUCUUUACAAACUAUAAUUUCUAAAUCUAAUAAGCGAAAAGAGGCAUAACUCUGUCAGAAAAAUAGAUUUUAGAAGGAGCUUGUGUAAUUAUAGAACUUGAGAAAAUUAUAAAACUUAAUACAGAAUUAAAACAGAUAAAUCAAUAUGUAGAAUGAUUUGAUUUAAGUUUCUGUCCUUGAAUUUUUUAUGAUUUUUCAAUAUCCAGAACUAUAAAUAUUGAUUUGCCAUACAAACAUAGGGAUUUUUUUUUAAAUUUCAGAUUUAUCUAGUUUUUUUUAUAAAACGUAAUUACUUUACAAUCAUUUGACCGUUAUCUUAAUUUUACAGUCUCUUAGAUAAUAAACGUGAUAGGAUGUAAAUUCUGCCUAUUUAGCAUAUGUUUUAACAUAUUUAAUUUAAUUUGAUUCUGCUAAAUAUUUUCUUUUUCUUUUUGUAAUAUUAGUAGAUUUUAGACAUUUUUGAAAAAAAACUCUAUUUUGAAAGUUUAUUUGUAGAUUUUAGACAUUUUUGAAAAAAAAUUCUAUUUUGAAAGUUUUAGGUAAAAACUUAAGUUGAAGUCAUAAACUUAGCAUUGGGCACGUCUCACGCUGUGAGCAUAACUUCUAUUACACUACAAAACAUUUAUGGAUUACCAAUGGAUUUUUCUGUUGGUAAUCUUGUAAAAAUCCAUUGGUAAAUAAAUUACCAACGGAUUACUAAUUGAUUACGAUCCGUUGUUAAAAAGUUCGUUGGUAAAUUUUUACCAACGGAUUUACUAAUGGAAUUUCCGUUACUAUUACUAAUGGAUUUUAAAUCCGUUAGUAAAUUGAGGGAAAUAAUAUGAGAAAAUAAUAUGAAUAAUAAUAUAGAUAGAAAGAAAAUGAUAGAAAGAAAAUGAUAGAAGAAAAUAAUAUGAGAGGAAAAUGAUAUGAAUGAUAAUUAUAGAGAAAAUGAAGAAUAAGAGAAGAAAAAGAAGAAAAUAAUGGGAAAGAAAAUGGAGAAAGUGAAAGGAAAAUUAUGGAGGAAAAUAAAGAAAAUAAUAGAAGAGAGAAGAGAAUGAGAUAAAAAAGGAUAAGAGAUAAAAGGAAAAUAAUAGAAAAAAAAUGAGAUGAAAAAAAUGAGAUAAUUAUAGAGAAAAUGAAGAAUUAGAGAAGAAAGAGAAGAAAAUAAUGUGAAAGAAAAUGGAGAAAGUGAAAGGAAAAUUAUAGAGGAAAAUAAAGAAAAUAAUAGAAGAGGGAAGAAAAUGAGAUAAAAAAGGAUAAGAGAUGAAAGAAAAUGAGAUAAAAAAAAUGAGAAGAAAAAAAUGAAAUAAGAAAGUGAACUGAAAGAAAGUAAUAGAAAAAAAAGAAAAUUAGAGAAAAUAAAAGAAAGUGAAAAAAAUAAAAAUGAUAAGAUGAAUGAAUGAUAAAAGGAGAAGAAGUGAUGUUAUAUUUGUAAAUAUGGAUUACUAACGGAUUUAAUAACGGAUUUGAAUCCGUUACUAAAUUUCGAAAAUAAAAGUGGGUUUUUUUCCCUCUAAAAAUUACUAACGAAUUUCAAAUCCGUUACUAAGUCCGUUGGUAAUAAAAAAAUGUGAGUUUUUAAAAAAUAAACGUCAAUUUUAAGCGGGAUAUCAAUUUAAAUUUACAAACGGAUUCACUAACAGAUCCGAUAGAUUCAAUAUAUUUUUUUUAAAAUUUAGUAACGGAUUUUCAAAUCCGUUAGUAUUUUUUUGAACACAUUACUAAUGGAUUCUAAAUCCGUUAGUAAUUUAAACAUUUUUUUAAAUUUACUAACAGAUUAAAAUCCGUUAGUGAAUUACCAACGAAUUUACUAACGGAUUUUAAGUCCGUUAGUAAAUUUUAAUACUACUUAUUUUAUAAAUUUAUAAAUUACUUACGGAUUUUGAAAUCUGUUAGUAAUACUAAUAGAUCAUCAAAGGAUUUCAAAUUCGUUGAUAAAUUUUUAUACAAAAUUUUUUACAUUAAAAUUUACUAACGGAUUUAAAAUUCGUUAGUAAAUUCAUUAUUAUUACUAACAUAUUUUAAAUCCGUUAGUAAAAUCCGUUGGUAAAUUGUAACUUUUUUGUAGUAUUAGAUGACUUAUACUAAGAAGUGAAUGAAGUUAUGAAAUAAACCUUGGGCACGCUUCAUGUCAAGGUCACAGAUAGAAUUUGCUGAGAAGUAAGUAAAGCCAUAAAAUAAAUUUUGGCCUAAGUGUACACAGACUUUGGGUACGGCUUAUGCAAUACCACAAGAUUUUCAUAUCUGAUUCUCUAUUAAAUUGCAUAAACCAGUUUAGAAAGAAAUGAUUUUAGAAAGAAUUGGAAAUUUUGGAUUGUUUAUAAUUACUCCUUUUAAAAAGGGAAGAUUCUUUGAAUUGGAAGACUUUUGAAAUAUUAAUACUUUACUUUUUGCUUUUAUGAUUGAUUGCACCAUGAGCUCCAUAAGCUAAUAUUCUUUAUCUAGUUAGGAAACUUUCGAGGUGUAAUUUACUCUUAACUUUCGAGGUGUAAUUUACAAGAAUUGUGAGAUCGAAUCAAUCUUAAUUCUCAUUUUUAUUUCUAAUUUCUAUGUUAUUCCUUUAUUUUUGAGAUUAUUAUUUAUUUAGUUGAUGUAAUCUGAUUAAUUGCUCAAUUGAAUAAAUAACAUAAAGUUAUUAAAAUUCAUUAAAGUUAUAAUUGCUUGUGAGUUUGACACCUAUGAUAAACAAUAUUUUAUUGUGGAAUAACAUGUCGUGCUAGUGUGAGUUUUUUUGGUUAAAAUCAGAUCUUCCUAAUUUUUAAUGUUAUUAUCAAAUUAAAUCUCAUUGAGCUGAUCAGGUGAUUUAUUUGUUAAUUAGAGGCUAAUUAGUGAGAUGAUAUUUUUAGUCUAUUAUAUAAGGAAAGAUUAGGUUGUUAGACUGUGCCAAUAGUUAUAACUGGCCGACUAGAAAUUAAUUUGGAUAUAUUCCUUAAAAUUAAUACUAAGAUAUUCUCAAAACUAGAUAUUUUCUUAAUCUGAUUAAUUUUUUAAUUAUUUGUUUCUUAAUUAGUUUACUCUUACAUUCAGUUAAAUAUUUUCAAUUCAAAACCCCAUUUUUAUAUUUUAUUUUUAUUUUAUUUUACUUUAUUUUUAUGAACGAAUAAAAUUAAAUCGUCCCUUGUGGAUUCGACUCCACUCACCAUAUUUAUAAUUAUUUAUAAUAAGAGUAAGAUUUAUUUUUGUUUGAUUCGACACUCAUCAAAAAGUAUUUUAAAAUGACUUAUUUUAUAAAUAAAACACAUAAUUAUAAAAUAAUAUAUGAAUCUAUUCCUCUUAUUUUGAUUAACAAAAUUUAUUACAAAGUUAUGAUUUAUACAUUUACCUCCUGACAUAAGGUUCAAGGUACACGAGGAUAAACACUUCUUUUAUAAAUUGAUAUUUUAAAAGCAAAUAAUAAUGAAAAAACACUUACAGAAAACACUUAAAAAAAAUCACCAGAAAUAUAAUCGAAUCGAGUCGAAUUAAUUUUUAUAAAGCACACAUUCGAUUAUUAAAAAAUUUUGAAAACUCAACCUCAAAUUGGCUUGCACUCGAUUCAAAAAUUAAAUAUUAUAAUUGAAUUUAGUUCGAACUCAACACUUUGAAAAUUUCGUUUAAUAUAAUAAUGAGCCUAAUUUAACUAGUAAAAAAUUCAUUUAGUAUAAUAACUAAUCUAAUUUAAAUUCGAAUUUGAGAAACUCCACUUAAACGAGCGCACUAAAACAAUUUAAUGAUUUAUUUCUAGUUUUAAUCAAUUAAAUUAAAAGUUAAAACCAUAAAUUCUAAUUUAAUUCACAUCAGAUCAACUUAUCUUGCGUCCAUCUAAAGAUAUUAAAUAAUUAAUUAAUUAAUUAGUUAGAAGACCUUCUAGAGUGUAAAUAGCAAUAAUGCCGAUGAAUUAGUUUUCUCCCCACUUGAUUUUCGUUGUUUAUAAAGAAAUUUAAUAAGAAUGUCUUGAAGUGUUGAUUUGAUUUGUCGACAUAAAUUGAGGGAAAAAAAAACAAAAAAGGAAACGAUGAAGCAAUUCAUAUAUAUAAUAACAAGUUUUUUCAAAAAGAGAAAAGACGAUAUUUUUUGCUAAUUAAAUCUAAAGUAAAAACAGACUUUUUUAAAAAAAAAAAAAAAAAACUGUAUGUUUCUCCAAAAUUUAGUAAUAAAAUUUUUUAAUAUGCAAAAUAACAAUUUAUUUGGGUGUAUUAAUAAUUUGGAUUGAACAAAUAAUUUUCUCAAUUUCCUCAUUUUUUAGGAAAUGAGUGCGUCCAAGGGCAGUGGGUUCCAAGCAACUGAUUAAUUAGAUUGACUUCCCACUUGCUUUUCUUUAUUGGCAACGGGAAAAAAGACCACUUAAUGAGAAUUACUACGAAAUGAUAAACAUCAAUAAAUAAAUAAUUGAAGAGGAAGACUAGGUAGACUAUUCUUCUGAUGGCCAGAAAUUUUCAUAUACUUUCAUAGAAAUUAAACAUUUUCCUUGAGUCUAAAUUAACCCCUUGUUGAAGGCAAGACUUUUAUAAGUCUUUCUUAGUAAACAUAUAUAGAAACUAAGCACUAUAAAUAGAUACAGAAACUCCAUUCAUUCCCACCAAACAUAAGCACUAAUCUCCAACCUCAAUUGAUUGGUAGUUGGAGACUUUUAGCAGCUCAAUCCAAUGAUUCCUAAAACCUUCCAACUUUUUGGAGCCAUUUUGCUCCUCUUCUUGUUUCAGUUACCAAACAGAAUCCAAUCAAAACCAAGUGGAAAUCCUUUUGGGUUUAUCCAACACCUAGAGGGAUGCCACAAGGGUGAAUCUAUAAGUGGGCUCAAGGACCUUAAACGAUAUCUUGAGAAAUUUGGGUACUUGAAUUACGCCAAAAAAAGCAGAAACAACCAUGCAAAUGAUGAUGAGUUUGAUGAUCUUUUGGAGGCAGCAAUCAAGGAUUACCAACACUACUAUCACCUGCAAGCCACAGGAGUUUUAGACAAUAAUACAGUAUCUCAAAUGACGAAACCUAGAUGUGGGGUGCCAGAUGUUGUCAAAAAUGGCACAAACAAGCACUACCAUAAUCCCAAAUCCAUCCACUCAGUAGCCCAUUUCAGCUUCUUCCCUGGACCCCGAAGAUGGCCAGCAGAGAGAAGCCAUUUAAGAUACAGGUUUCGUUCCAGUGUGCAAGUCCCUGGAACUGGCAAUUUCAGGUCCAUAUGUGCACAAGCAUUUCAGAGAUGGGCACAAGUUACCCACUUCACAUUCGAGGAAGUUGAUGCUAAUUCUGAGGCAGAAAUCGAGAUUGGAUUUCACAGGAGGUUCCAUGGAGAUAGUGACCCCUUUGAUGGAAUAUCAGGGACUUUCGCACAUGCAACUGCACCAACUCAUGGAAGGUGCCAUUUUGAUGGAGAUGAGAUAUGGAGUGGAAAUCCUGGACCUAAUGAGUUGGACUUGGAAUCAGUUGCAGUGCAUGAAAUCGGGCACCUUCUAGGUCUAGACCAUAGUGAAGACCCAAAUGCUAUAAUGUAUUCUACCUUUGAUUAUGGGAUUACCAAAAGGGAUUUGGGUACUGAUGAUAUUCAAGGAAUUCGUACUCUGUAUGGAUUGCAGUAAUGAGUUCAUUAUUCUUAUUACAAUAAGAGCAACUGAGAUCCAAUAUGCUUUGGAGGGUUUAGUGCUACGUAGUUUGAAUAUAAUAUUUUUGAUAAUUCUCAUUUGUAUCACUAGGAAAUAUAUAAAUAAAAGAAAUCUCAUGGUUUUGUAAUUUCAAAUCCUUUUAAAACUAUAUGACUUCUUUAUAAAAUCUCUACACAAAGAUGUAAAAAAGAAAAAAAAAAAAAUCAAAUGUCUUAAUGAUCAGUAUUGAGUAUAAUUAAUUAAACUUGUAUAAUGCAUUAAUUUUAUUUCCAUUUGACUAUUAUUUUAAUUUUACAGUCCUUUUAAAUGAUAAAAUUACUUAUCUUACAAAUUAAAAUAUAUAAUUAAAAAAUAUAUAUGUAUUCCAUCUAUUUCAAUUUACCAACUUUAUUACAAGUGAAUGAAUACUUUUUUACGAAAUAAUCUUUUAAAAGCAAAUACUAUAAUUUUUAGAUUUAGUUAGUGGAAAGACAUAAUUAAAACAGAGAAAUCAAUAUUCAAUAUGUAGAAGGAUUUGAUUUAAAUUUUAGCAGAAGUCCCAAGAUUUUUUUAUGAUUUUUCAAUAUCGGGAACUAUAAGUAUUGAUUAAAAUGAUUUCUAAAAGUUAAUUUAUUUUUAAAUAUAUCUUUGACAAAUCCAACUAGAGAAAAAUUAUAACAAGAUUAGGGAUGGCAGGCGGGCGGGUUUUCAUGGGUAUCCGAUCCGCCCAAACCCUAUUAGGACGGAUUUGGUUUUUACAAAAUGGAUUUGGGCGAAUUCGGAUUUGAAAAAUUUUACCCGUCUCGGAUUCGGGUAGGGUUCGGGAUUAGGUAAUCGGAUACCCAUUACCCGAACCCGAUUAACUAUACUAACAAAACUAACCCUAAUCUCUAAUUUAUUUUUUUAUUUUACUCUUUCCUCUCUUCAUCUACAUCUCUCUCUCCCUCGCUUCCCUUCCCAUAGUUCUCAGCCACGCCCCUCCCCCACUUCACUGCCGGCAGCCCAGUCGUCACCGGCGACGUCUCCUUUCUCUCCCCAGUCGACGAUAAAUCUUCUCUUUCCUCCGUCAGCAAUAUCUCCUUCUCUCUCUCCAGCGGCGACAUCUCCGACUUUCCAGUUGAAGACAACUCUUCCCUGUGCCCGGUCGACGUCGGCGAUAUCUCCUUCUCUCUUCCUAGUCGGGUGAAAUCUACUCUUUUCAAUUUACGCUUCUCUCCCCGCACUUCACUGACGCUAGAGACAACCCUUCUCUCCUCAAUCGGCGACAUCUGCUUUGACUAGAACUCUCUUCAGGUUUCAAGAUCUUUUAUGUGUAUGUUCUUAAAGAAUUUUAUAAUUUAUAAACUAUUAAUCUGAUUAUUUGGAUAUAUUAAAAAAUCUAAUUAUUUGCUAUUUGAUUAAUGUAAUACUGUUGAUUUUUAAAAUUUAUGGACAAUUAUCUAAUUAUUUGAUUAUAAAUCAAUAUUUGUUGGGUUGCUGAGUUGCUGGUUCUUGUCAUUGAACAUUUCUCCUCCUACUGAAUUGUGCAACUGUUAGAUAGUUUAUUUGGUUUUGUCAUUGAAUGAAAUUAAAAAAAUUAUUUGCUGAGUUGCUGGUUUGUAUCGAGUUCGGGUAUUGUGCGGGUAUUGUUAAACGGGUUUGGAACGGGUUCGGAUAGUAAAAUUAAAAUAUUAAACGAGUUUGGGACGGGUUCGGGAAUUGUAUAUAUAAUCGGGUUUGGGUUUGGGUACUCUCAAUUUCGCGGGUACCCUACCCAUUUACAUCCCUAAACAAGAUAAGUAUCGAUUAAAAUGAUUUCUAAAAGUUAAUUUAUUUUUAAAUAUAUCUUUAACAAAUCCAUCUAGAGAAAAAUUAUAACAAGAUAAUUCUUCAAUAAUAAAUUUGCCAUACAAACAUAGGUUUUUCUAUUUCAAAGUUACUUAGUUCUUCUCUAUAAAAUGUGAAUUACCUUAUGCACUAUAAAAAAACCUUCGGAUUAUCCACAGAUUUUAUCAACGAAUUUUAAUCUGUUAAUAAUUUUAAUAAAUUUAAAAAUUAAUUAGUAAUUUUUAUAUAAUUUAUAUGUAUUAUUAAAAAAAUUUAAAAAUGAGUGGUAAUUUAUAAAUAAUUAAAAUAAUCGGUGAUGAAAUUUCCUAACGAAUUUAAAACCUAUUAGUAAAUUCUUUGAUAAUUUACUAAUAAAUUUCAAUAUGUCAGUAAAUCUAAAAAAAUAUUUAAAUUAAUAACAAAUUAUAAAUCUAUUACUAAUAUAUUUAAAAAAUCAUUAUCGAAUUUAAAAAUUUAUUAUUAAAUUUUAUUAUUAUAUUAAUAAAUUAAAAAAAUAUUAAAUUUAUCGAUGUUAUCCAUUAGUAAAUCAUUGAUAAAUUUAAAAUGAAAUCAGAUGUAAAAUUUUUACUUUUUCUUUAGAUUUAUAGUUGUCGGUUAAUGACGAAUUUCAAAUCCGUCGAGAAAAAAUCUAAUUUCUUUUUUUGUAAAAUUUAGUAACGAAUUAUGAAUCCAUUACUAAUUCAUAUUUAUAAAUAUAACACUAUCUCUUUUUCUUUUAUUACUCAUUCAUUUUAUCAUUUUUUUUUAUUUUUUUUCCCUUUCUCUCAUUUUUUUUCUUUUUCUAUUAUUUUCUUUUUCACUUUAUUAUUUCAUAAUUUUUUUUAUUUUUUCUAUUAUUUUCUUUUCUAUCUCUUAUAUUUUUUUUCUCUCAUUCUCUUUUCUCUUUUAUUAUUUUUUUCAUUUUUUUCUCAUAAUUUUCUUUUAGCUUUCUCCAUUAUUUUUCCAUCAUUUUCUUCCCUUUACCUCUCAUUUUCUUCAUUUUCUAUAUAAUUCAUUCAUAUUGCCCUUAUUUGAAAUGUCAAAUUUUGAAAGAAUUCGAAAAAUAAAUAAAUUCCUUUAUUAAAUUUUUGUGUUUGGUACAAUCAAUAAUAUAAAAUUUUAAUUUUCUUGAUUUUCGUGAGAAUUGAUUUUGAAUUAAAAGUAAAUUUUGCCAAAAUUAUUGAAUUUUUACAAAAAAAAAAUUUUAUUUAAAGUUACAUCAAAAUUACUUAAUUAGCCAUUGAAUUUUUUUUUUAAAUUUAAUUUUAAAUUUAUUUCUUAUUUUUAAUUAAUAAUUACUCUUUAUAAAAAUUAUUUUAAUUUAAUAGUAACUAUUAAUAUUUAAUGCAUUUAUAAUUAAUAUUAACAAAUUUAUUAUAUUAUUUUAUUAAUUUUAAAAAUAUUUUUUAUAUUUUAAUGGUAAAAAAUUACGUAAAAUUCAAACUUUAAAUAUUAAUAAUGAUUGUGAUAAAAAUGAAUGUUAUUUAUAAAAAUAAAUAUUUAUAUUUGUUUAAAAAUAAUAAGAAUAUAAAUGAAUUAAAUUAAAUUAAAUUUUAUUAUUAAUUUGUCUAACAUAAAUGAGUUAAAUUGAAUUCUAUUAUAUUUAAAUUGAUUCUAAAUAAAUGAAUUUUUUCAGAAAUAAAUUGAAUUUUUUAAUGAAUUGCAUACCAAAUAAGGGCAUUAAUUACUCUCAUAUUAUAUUCUUUUAUCAUUUUUCUUCUAUCAAUAUUUCUUUCUAUUAUUCUCUUUUUUUUUAUUUUCUUGUAUAAUUAUUUGUCCCUUUUUUUUCAUUUCUCUAAUCAUUAUUUUACUCUAUAUUCAUUCUUCCUUCUUUUUUCAUAAUUUUUAUUUUUUUAUUAUUUUCUUUUUUUAUCAUUUUCUCUUCAUCUAUAUUAUUUAUUUUUCUCUUAUUUUUAUUUUUAUGUAUUUCUAAUAAAUAUUGAAUAUAAAUUAAGAAUUUAGUAACAAUAAUAAUAUAAUUUUAAAUUUUAUUGAAGUAAUAAAAAAUAAUAUUAAUAAUAAAAUUUAUUAUUUAAUUAAAAUAAUAAUUAUUUUUAAAUUAUUUAAAUUUUUAAUAUGAAUUUAGUGACAAAUUGCAAUCUGUUAUUAAUUUAUUAAUGGAUUUAUCAACAGUAUCUGUUAAUAAAAUAUUUUUCUUUCAAUUUAUUAAUAAAUUUAAAAUUCAUUAGUAAUAAUAACAGAAAUUUCACUGAUAAAUAUGUUAAUAUUUUUUAAUAGACUUAAAAACUAUUGGUAAAAAUUUAUCGACGAAUUUUUUCAUAACGGAUUGUAAUCCAUUAGUAAUCAUUAUAAACGAAUUACUAAUAAAUUUUAAUUAAUUAGAUUAUUAACGAAAAAAUUCAUUGAUAAUGCAAAAAUUUCUUAACAAUCAUUUGACUGUUAUCUUAAUUUUACAGUCUCUUAAAUGAUAAAAGUGAUAGGAUGCAAAUUCUGCCUAUUUAGUAUAUGUUUUAAUAUAUUUAAUUUGAUUUGAUUUUGCUAAAUUAUGAAUAUUUUUUUCCCUUUUAUAAUAUUAGCCAAUUUUAUUCAUUCUAGAAAGAAAAAUUCUAUUUUAAAAGUUUAGACAAGAAUCAGAAUUGGAGUCCUAAAUCUAGCCUUGAACAUGUCUUAUACUGUGAGCACAACUUAUAUGAGUUAACUUAUAGUGAGAAGUGAAUGGAGUCAUGAAAUAAAUCUUAGGCAUGCUUCAUAUAAAGGUCACACAUAGAAUUUAUUGAAAAGCAAGUAAAGCUAUAGAGUAAACCUUGGGCUAAGCAUGCACAGACUUAUGCAAUGUCACAGAAUUUUCAUAUCUAAUUCUCUAUUAAAUUGUAAAAAUCAAUUUAGGAAGAAAUGAUUUUACAAAGAAAUGACACUUUUAGAUUGUUACUUCUAGAUUUUCUUUUAUUUCUCUUUAGUUUAGGAUUACUCUCGUUUAAAAAAUGGAAGGUUCUUUGAAUGGGAGAACUUUUGAAACUCAUGAUGCUUUACUUUUUUGCUUUUAUGAUUAGUUCUUUGAAUGGAAAAAUGGAAGAUUCUUUGAAUUAAAAAAACACAUAAAAAAAUAUUCACACAAGUGUAAUCAAACUGAACUGAACUGAUUUUUGUAAAAUUUAGAUUCAUUUAUUAAAAAAUUUUAAAAAUUCGACCUCGAGCUGGUUUAAACUCAAUUCGAAAAUUAAAUACUAUAAUCGAGUUCAGUUCACACUCGACUCAUAAAAAACUCGUUUAGUAUAAUAACGAAUCUAAUAACUUGACUCAUAAAAAACUCAUUUAGUAUAAUAAUGAGUCUAAUUUCAACUUUAAUAUGAAAAUUUGAAUUAAAAAAUUUAAAUUCGAAAAAUUCAAUUAAAAAACUCCAACUCGAAAAAUUCUAAAACAAUUUGAUGAUUUAUUUUUAAUUGUAAUCAAUUAAAUUAAAAGUUAAAACAAUAUAUUAUCAUUUAAUUCACAUCAGAUCAACUUACCUUGCGUCCAUCUAAAGAUACUAAUUAAUUAAUUAGUUAGAAGACCUUCUAGAGUGUCAAUAGCAAUAAUGCCGAUGAAAUAGGAUCUCCACACUUGCUUUUCGUUGUUUAUAAAGGAAUUUAAUAAGAAUGUUUUUAAAGUGUUGAUUUGAUUUGUCCGCAUAAAUUGAGGGAAAAAGAACAAAAAAGGAAAGGACGAAGCAAUUCAUAUAUAUAAUAACAAGUUUUUCCAAAAAGAGAAAACACGAUAUUUUUUCCUAAAUCUAAACUAAAAACAGACUUUAAAAAAAAAAAAAAACUGUAUGCAUGUUUCUCCAAAAUUUAACAAGGAUUCGAGUAUGUGUCUCCAAAAUUUAGUAGAAAAUUUUGAAUAUGCAAAUUAACAAUUUAUUUGAGUGUAUAAAUAAUUUGGAUUGAACAAAUAAUUUUCUCAAUUUCCUCAUUUUUUAGGAAGGCUUUGUAGUGCGUCAAGGGCAGUGGGUUCCAAGCAACUAAAUAAUUAGAUUGACUUCCCACUUGCUUUUCCUUUUUGGCAACGGGAAAAUAAGACCACUUAAUGAGAAUUACUAGGAAAUGAUAAACAUCAAUAAAUAAAUAAUUCAAGAGGAAGACUAGGUAGACUAUUCUUCUGAUGGCCAGAAAUUUUCAUAUACUUUAACAUAGAAAUUAAGAAUUUUCCUUCAGUCUAAAUUAACCCCUUGUCGAAGGCAAGACUUUUAUAAGUCUUUCUAAGUAAACAUAUAUAGAAACUAAGCACUAUAAAUAGAUACAGAAACUCCAUUCAUUCCCACCAAACAUAAGCACUAAUCUCCAACCUCAAUUGAUUGGUAGUUGGAGACUUUUAGCAGCUCAAUCCAAUGAUUCCUAAAACCUUCCAACUUUUUGGAGCCAUUUUGCUCCUCUUCUUGUUUCAGUUACCAAACAGAAUCCAAUCAAAACCAAGUGGAAAUCCUUUUGGGUUUAUCCAACACCUAGAGGGAUGCCACAAGGGUGAAUCUAUAAGUGGGCUCAAGGACCUUAAACGAUAUCUUGAGAAAUUUGGGUACUUGAAUUACGCCGAAAAAAGCAGAAACAACCAUGCAAAUGAUGAUGAGUUUGAUGAUCUUUUGGAGGCAGCAAUCAAGGAUUACCAACACUACUAUCACCUGCAAGCCACAGGAGUUUUAGACAAUAAUACAGUAUCUCAAAUGACGAAACCUAGAUGUGGGGUGCCAGAUGUUGUAAAAAAUGGCACAAACAAGCACUACCAUAAUCCCAAAUCCAUCCACUCAGUAGCCCAUUUCAGCUUCUUCCCUGGACCCCGAAGAUGGCCAGCUGAGAGAAGCCAUUUAAGAUACAGGUUUCGUUCCAGUGUGCAAGUCCCUGGAACUGGAAACUUCAGGUCUAUAUGUGCACAAGCUUUUCAGAGAUGGGCACAAGUUACCCACUUCACAUUCGAGGAAGUUGAUGCUAAUUCUGAGGCAGAAAUCGAGAUUGGAUUUCACAGGAGGUUCCAUGGAGAUGGGAACCCUUUUGAUGGAAUAUCAGGGACUUUAGCACAUGCAUUUGCACCAACUAAUGGAAGGUGCCAUUUUGAUGGAGAUGAGAUAUGGAGUGCAAAUCCUGGACCUAAUGAGGUGGACUUGGAAUCAGUUGCAGUGCAUGAAAUAGGGCAUCUUCUGGGUCUUGACCACAGUGAGGAUCGAAAUGCUAUAAUGUAUUCUACCUUUGAUUAUGGGAUUACCAAAAGGGAAUUGGGUACUGAUGAUAUUCAAGGAAUUCGUACUCUGUAUGGAUUGCAGUAAUAGUUGCAUUAUUUUAUUGUAAUAAGAGCAAUUGAGAUCCAAUAUGCUUUGGAGGCUUAGUGCUAUAUUGUUCGAAUGUAAUAUUUCUAAUAUUUUUCCCUUAUAUCACCGGUUAAAAGAAUCACAUGGCUGCUUAAAGGUUUUAUGAUAUAGGACUAAUUAGAUUUCGUCAAGAGUUUUAACUGAUAAUAUUUUAAUGGAUUUAUUAAUGGAUCUUAUAUUUAUUAGUAAAUUAUUUUUCUUUUAAUUUACUAUAAAUCUAAAAUCCGUUAAUAAUAAUAACGGAAAUUCCAUUAGUAAAUAUGUUUAUAUUUACUAAUAGAUUUAAAAAUCGUUGACAAGCUUUUUAAUAAGGGAUUGUAAUCCGUUGGUAAACAAAUUAUCAAUGGAUUUUUAUUAGAUUACCAAUGAAAAAAUUUGUUGGUAAUGCAGAAGUUUCUUGUAGUGAGAUUCACCAUUAUCUUAAUUUUAUAAUUUCUUAAAUAAUAAAAGUGAUAGGAUGCAAAUUCUGCCUAUUUAAUAUAUAUUUUAACGUAUUUAAUUUGAUUUGAUUCUGUUAAAUUAUAGUUAUUUCUUUUCCUUUUGUAGUAUUGACAGAUUUUAUUCAUUCUGAAAAGAAAAGUUUUAUUUUGAAUGUUUAGACAAGAAUUAGAAUUGGAGUCGUAAAGCUAGUCUUGAGUACGUCUCACACACAGUGAGCACAACUUACAUUAAAUGACUUAUACGGAGCAAUGAAUAGAGUCAUGAAAUAAAUCUUAGGCACGCUUCAAAUCAUGGUCGCAAAUAGAAUUCAUUGAGAAGCAAAUAAAACCAUAGAGUAAACCUUGGACUAAGCGUACACAGAUUUGUAGCAUAACUUAUGCAAUAUCACGGGAUUUUCAUAUCUAAUUCUUUAUUAAAUUGCAGAAACCAGUUUAUGAAGAAUUGAUUUUAGAAAGAAAAAAAACUUUUAGAUGGUUACUUCUAGAUUUUUUUUAUUUCUCUUAAGAAAAGUUCUUUGAAGUGAGAACUUUUGAAACUUCUUAUACUUUACCUUUUUGCUUUUAUAAUUGGUUGCGACAUGAGUUACGGUGGCAAAUCUUUUUUAUCUAGUUAGGGAACUUUCGAGGUGUAUCCUUCUUAUUUUUAGUUUUUAUAUUAUCCCUUUGUUCUUUAGAAUUUUAUUUAUUUAAUUGAUGUAAUAUAUCCAAUUGCUCAAUUGAGUAAAUAGCAUAUAAUCAUUUAAAUUCAUUUAGUCUCUUCUUAUUUCUAGUUUCUAUAUUAUUCUUUUAUUCUUUAGAAUUUUAUUUAUUUAGUUGAUGUAAUCUAUCCAAUUGCUCAAUUGAGUAAAUAACAUAUAAUCAUUCAUAUUCAUUUAGUCAGUAAUUAUUUGUGAGUUUUAUAUUUGUGACAAACAAUAUUUUAUUGUGAAAUAAGAUAUUAUGAUUUCAUAGUUGCGCUGGUAUGACCUUCUUGGUUAGAAUCGGGUCUUUCUAAUUUUAAAUGCCGUUAUCAAAUUAAAUCUUAUUAAAUUUAUCAUAUAGUUUGUUUGUUGAUUAGGGGCUAAUUAGUAAACUGAUCCUUUUUAGUCUAUUAUCUAACGAAAAAUUAAAUUGUUAGAACGUGUCAAUAAUUAUAACUAGCUGACCAGAAAUUAAUUUAAAUAUUCUUGCAUCUAUGAUCAAUCUCGAAAAUUAACACCAAGAUACUCUCGAAAUUAAAUAUUUUUUAAAUCUAAUUAAUCUCUUUAAUUAUUUGCUUCUUAAUUAGUUUACUUUUACAUUCAAUUAAAUCUCUUUAAUCUAAAACCCCAUACUUUUAUAUUUUAUUUUACUUUAUUUUUAGAGUAAACUACAAUUUAGUCCCUCUAGUUUAGUGAAAUAUAACCUUUCAUCCCUCUGUUUUUAAAAAUCGUCAAUUUAGUUACUGUGAUUUUUAAAAAUUAUGCCAUUAGUCCCUCCCGUUAGAUUUUCAGUUAAGUCACCAUUAGUUUUAGUUAAAAGACUAAAAUACCCAUUCUCUCAUCCACCUCAUCAGUCUAUCAUGGAAUUGUGUCCUCUGUUGCCAUGGAUGUCUAGAGCUUCCACAAGAAAAACAAGGGUGUUAAGUUAACAGUGGCAAAGAAAUCUUACAGACAAUUAGUAAGAAAUUUUACAUGAUAAGACCAAAGAACUUGGUCUUGGAUCCCACUUUGGAUGUUCAGAUUUUGAAAUCAAAACAAAAUUUUUUUAAAUAAGCAACUGAUAAUCACAACAGAGGGACCAAUAGCAUAAUUUUUAAGAUAGAGGAUCUUGAAGAUGGAGGAGUACUCAUUUCGAAUCAUCCUAAAAAAAGCCCGAAUCGAGAGUUUUGCUUCGUGGGUUUGCAGAUAUGGAUGCUAGAACUCCAUUCUCUCACCCACAAUUCCAUCGACUGCAAUUCCAUGAUAGAAAAUAGCUGGAGAGAAUUGGAAAGAACCUUUGGAGAAAGAUCAUAGACAUUAGAACAGCGCAUGCUGAUUAACCUACGCAAGCAUUUGACUUCUGCGGCCACAUCGGCCGUGUUCAUCCGUACCUUCACCAUAUCUUCUCCCUAUUCAAAGAUCGCUCUUUAUCUCUGUGUCCUUGUGAAUGGAACUGGAGAAGAUAUCCGUAGCAAAAGGAGUUGUCUUUCGAUUUCAAAAUAUGGAGAAAGGUCUUCGCCUUGCUCGCUACCGCCUGGUGCCUGGAUAAUUUCCAGUUCCGACAUGCUUUGCGAUGUCGUUUUGUCCAUCAUCUUUGAAGAAUACACUUGCUGCAAAAUAUGUGAUCAAAAUCUGUAGCUUAAGUGUUCGGUAGAAGUAGGUGGCUUCAUUUAAUGUUUACUGUUACCAUUGCUUGAUCUGUUGCUUAAAACACUCUCUGCCACAAUUGUUGAUGAUGUUGUCUUGCUAGAGUUGUUUUCUAAAGAGUUUUGAAGAAACACAAUCCAUUGAUAGACUGAUGAGGUGGGUGAGAGAAUGGGUAUUUUAGUUUUUUAACUAAAACUAACGAUGACUUAACUGAAAAUCUAACGGGAGGGACUAAUGGCAUAAUUUUUAAAAAUCACAAUGACUAAAUUGAUGAUUUUUUAAAACAGAGGGACGAAAUGUUAAAUUGCACUAAACUAGAGGGACUAAAUUGUAGUUUACCCUUAUUUUUAUCAAGGAAUAAAAUUAAACAGUAAUUUUUGAAUUUAAUCCUACUCACUAUAUUUAUAAUUAUUUAUAAUAAGAGCAUGAUUUAUUUUUAUUGGAUUCGACACCUAUUAAAAAUUAUUUUAAAAUAACUUAUUUUACAAAUCAAAAUACAUAAUUAUAAAAUAAUAUAUGAAUAUAUUCCUCUUAUUUUGAUUAACAAAAUUUAUUAUAAAAUCAUGAUUUAUGCAUUCAAGGUUCAAUGUACACAAUAAUAAACACUUCUUUUACAAAUUAAUAUUUCAAAAAUAAAUACUAUAGUUUUUAAAUUUAUUUAAUAAAAAAACAUAAUUAAGUCAGAAGAAUGGAUUUUAAAAGAAGCUUUUAUACGUGUAAAAGUUGAGAAAAUUACAAAACCUAAUACAAAUAAAUCAAUACGAAGAUGGAUGAUUUGGUUGCUCCAUUUACAAACUGAUCUUUUAUUAAUAAAUUAUUUAAAAUUAUAAUACAUGGUAUAUAAAUUAAAAACUAUAGAUAAUAAUUAAAUUGGUUAUAAUAUUUAUUAUUAUAUAAUAAAAAUUAUAUACAUAUAAAAAAUAAUUAUAUUUUCAAUUAUAUUAUAUAUGUUAUAUAAUAAAUUAAUAUUUUUAUAUUUAUUUUAUUAACAUAGUAAAUUAAUAAUAUCGUCAUUAGUCAUUUUAUAUGUCUAGACAUAGUAUACAAAAGCAGGCUUAGCCUGGUGGAAAGUGCAUCCUGUAGCCUUGAAAGGUCUAAGGUUUGACUCCUCCAACCCCUAUUUCAAAAAAAAAAAAAAAGACAUAAUAUACAAAACACAUAAGGUAUAUCAGUUAAAAUUAAUUACCAGCGAUAAACUAUCAAUAACUAUUAUCAAUUAUAUUUAACAGGUAAAUAAAACAUUUUUUAAUUUGAUAGUGAUUAUUCUCUGAUUAGCUUUCAGUUUACACUGCACUAUCAAUUGCAAUUUAUUCCUUUUGAAUUAAUAUAUUUUUUUAAUUCAAAUAAAAUUAAGCUCCUAAUUUUUUUUAAGCAAUGAGUUAUGCCAAUGCAUUCAAUUUGUUUUUCCAUAUUACAAGACUAAUUAAAUUAAUUUAGUCAUCGUUGAAUUAAGCAAUUUAAGUUUUCCUAUAAUGAAAAAAAACUUACGAAAAACACUUAAAAAAAACAUUCAUCAGACAUAUAAUUGAAUCGAGUCGAAUUAAUUUUUAUAAAGCACACAUUUGUUUAUUAAAAAAUUUUGGAAACUCGACCUCAAACUGACUUCAACUCGAUUCAAAAAUUAAAUAUUAUAAUAGAAUUCGGUUCGAACUCGACACUUUAAAAACCCGUUUAAUAUAAUAAUGAGCCUAAUUUAACUCGUAAAAAAUUUAUUUAAUAUAAUAAUAAAUCUAAUUUAAAUUUAAAUUCGAGAAACUCAGAUUAAAAAGUUCGAGCUCGAAAAAUACUAAAAUAAUUGGAUGAUUUAUUUCUAGCUUUAAUCAAUUAAAUUAAAAGUUAAAACGAUAUACUAUUAUUUAAUUCACAUCAGAUCAACUUAUCUUGCAUCCAUCUAAAGAUAUCAAAUAAUUAAUUAGUUAGAAGACCUUCUAGAGUGUCAAUAACAAUAAUGCCUAUGAAAUAGUUUUCUCCCCACUUGCUUUUCAUUGUUUAUAAAGGAAUUUAAUAAGAAUGUCUUAAAAGUGUUGAUUUGAUUUGUCGACAUAAAUUGAGAAAAAAAAAAAAGAACUGGAAACGACGAAACAAUUCAUAUAUAUAAUAACAAGUUUUUCCAAAAAGAGAAAAGACAAUAUUUUCUCCUAAAUCUAAAGUAAAAACAGACUUAAAAAAAAAAAAAAGAAACUGUAUGUUUCUCCAAAAUUUAACAAUAAUUCGUGUAUGUGUCUCCAAAAUUUAAUAUAAAAUUUUGAAUAUGCAAAUUAACAAUUUAUUUGAGUGUAUCAAUAAUUUGGAUUGAACAAAUAAUUUUCUCAAUUUCCUCAUUUUUUAGGAAGGCUUUGUAGUGCGUCAAGGGCAGUGGGUUCCAAGCAACUAAAUAAUUAGAUUGACUUCCCACUUGCUUUUCCUUAUUGGCAACGGGAAAAUAAGACCACUUAAUGAGAUUAAUUACUAGGAAAUGAUAAACAUCAAUAAAUAAAUAAUUAAAGAGGAAGACUAGGUAGACUAUUCUUCUGAUGGCCAGAAAUUUUCAUAUACUUUAACAUAGAAAUUAAGCAUUUUCCCUGAGUCUAAAUUAACCCCUUGUUGAAGACAAGACUUUUAGAAGUCUUUCCUACUAAUCAUAUAUAGAAACUAAGCACUAUAAAUAGAUACAGAAACUCCAUUCAUUCCCACCAAGCAAAAGCACUAAUUUCCAACCUCAAUUGAUUGGUAGUCGGAGAAUUUUAGCAGUUCAAUCCAAUGAUUCCUAAAAACUUCCAACUUUUUGGAGCUAUUUUGCUCCUCUUCUUGUUUCAGUUACCAAACAGAAUCCAAUCAAAACCAAGCGGAAAUCCUUUUGGGUUUAUCCAACACCUAGAGGGAUGCCACAAGGGUGAAUCUAUAAGUGGGCUCAAGGACCUUAAACGAUAUCUUGAGAAAUUUGGGUACUUGAAUUACGCCAAAAGUAACAGCAACAACCAUGCAAAUGAUGAUGAGUUUGAUGAUCUUUUGGAGGCAGCAAUCAAGGAUUACCAACACUACUAUCACCUGCAAGCCACAGGAGUUUUAGACAAUAAUACAGUAUCUCAAAUGACGAAACCUAGAUGUGGGGUGCCAGAUGUUGUCAAAAAUGGCACAAACAAGCACUACCAUAAUCCCAAAUCCAUCCACUCAGUAGCCCAUUUCAACUUCUUCCCUGGACCCCGAAGAUGGCCAGCUGAGAGAAGCCAUUUAAGAUACAGGUUUCGU